CCAAAACGUGUGUUGCUUUGUUGCUAUGAAAGGAUAUGAAUAUCAUAUAUACAUAACUUAUUUUAUUGCUACGAGAUAUUGUCAACAAAAUAACUCACUUCACCAACAGGACACUGUUUUCAUGUCACCGCAUGCUAUAUGGAACUCAGAUGUACACUAUUCGAGCGCACCCAAGUCAACAACUAGUACGUUAAAUCACUGAGAAGAAAAUUGAUAUUUUGUAUAUUAAAUUUUCCUCUGCAUCACUUUGAGUGACAUUUGUACAAUCUUCGGACGCGCAGUUCAUAAUUCUAUUGUGUGUUCUUGUGUACUGUCGUAAAAUAAUUU